rnacentral:rRNA from 1 species
UACAGGGGGUGCAAACGUUGCUCGGAAUUACUGGGCGUAAAGCGCGUGUAGGCGGCUUUGCAAGUCGGGUGUGAAAGCCCUCAGCUCAACUGAGGAAGUGCGCCCGAAACUGCAGAGCUUGAGUACCGGAGAGGAUGGUGGAAUUCCCCAAGUAGAGGUGAAAUUCGUAGAUAUGGGGAGGAACACCGGUGGCGAAGGCGACCAUCUGGACGGAUACUGACGCUGAGACGCGAAAGCGUGGGUAGCAAACAGG